GUGGGGAAUUUUGGACAAUGGGCGAAAGCCUGAUCCAGCCAUGCCGCGUGUGUGAAGAAGGUCUUCGGAUUGUAAAGCACUUUAAGUUGGGAGGAAGGGCAGUAAGUUAAUACCUUGCUGUUUUGACGUUACCGACAGAAUAAGCACCGGCUAACUUCGUGCCAGCAGCCGCGGUAAUACGAAGGGUGCAAGCGUUAAUCGGAAUUACUGGGCGUAAAGCGCGCGUAGGUGGUUUUGUAAGUUGGAGGUGAAAUCCCCGGGCUCAACCUGGGAACUGCCUCCAAAACUGCAUGACUAGAGUACGGUAGAGGGUAGUGGAAUUUCCUGUGUAGCGGUGAAAUGCGUAGAUAUAGGAAGGAACACCAGUGGCGAAGGCGACUACCUGGACUGAUACUGACACUGAGGUGCGAAAGCGUGGGGAGCAAACAGGAUUAGAAACCCUGGUAGUCC
rnacentral:rRNA from 1 species